rfam:Manacus vitellinus contig22991, whole genome shotgun sequence.
UCUUGUGGCUUCCAUGCAGAAGUGCACAGAAACAGCUAUUUGCGACUGAGAAUUGGCUGUUACUGUUCUUCUGGUGGAUGCUGCUGGA